UUACCUGGGCUUGAACUGCUGGUGGUAGAAGCCCGAAGGGUAACGACCCGGAGCAAUCCGGGAGCCAGUAGAGGUGCUGCAUGGCUGUCGUCAGCUCGUGUCGUGAGAUGUUGGGUUAAGUCCCGCAACGAGCGCAACCCUUACCCUUAGUUGCCAGCGGGUAAUGCCGGGCACUCUAAGGGGACCGCCCCGGAUAACGGGGAGGAAGGCGGGGAUGACGUCAAGUCAGCAUGGCCUUUAUGUCCAGGGCUACACACGUGCUACAAUGGGCGAUACAGAGGGAAGCAAGGCCGCAAGGUAGAGCUAAUCCCUAAAGUCGUCCUCAGUUCGGAUUGCAGGCUGCAACUCGCCUGCAUGAAGUCGGAAUCGCUAGUAAUCGCGGAUCAGCUACGCCGCGGUGAAUACGUUCUCGGGCCUU
rnacentral:rRNA from 1 species